rnacentral:misc_RNA from 1 species
GUAAUCUAAUGACUGGAAAACCGUUAGUUUGGUUAACCAUCCAAACGAAAUGAACUGUGAAGAACAGCAUAAUUUGAUCAUAUUUCCAAUAAAGACACAAUUGACAAUUACUGGUAAACUGUAUGAUAUUUUUUACCUGGGUCUUUUGAUUUUGACUUCACUAUGCCAAAUUUUGAAAUAUAAUAUGUGGUCAAGGUAUUUUUUUAAUGGUUGAGUCAUAACAAAUAAUCUGUGUCAUUAUGUUGACCGUUUAUUUUGUAUGAUCUAGAUUUUAUUUUGUAAAUACAUGUAGUCUAGUUGAGAUCAAUGUGACAUACUGUUUGAUUUCAACCAUUUUAUGACUAUCUUUAUUGUGCCAUAUUUUGUGUAAAGCAAUGAUUUUGUCAUACUUAACACAAAGAUAAACAGACGAGAGCAGUUUUUUUUUACCUUGGCCAUCAUCCAACCUUGAUUUUAUCGUUCGGAAUCUCUAUUUUGUGUAAAUGUUACUUUUGUUUCAAACAAUUUUAUGUAAUUUUGGUUGUAAUAUAUUGUAUUCUAAAUUUUUAAGAUGUUAUAAAAUAUGUUGCCUAUAUCACAAAGAGGGCCUAGUAAACGAAAUGAUUCGUUUCAUUAUAUGUUACAGACAAAUCUUGUACAAUUAAUGAAUAAAUGCCGUUUUAAGG